rnacentral:lncRNA from 1 species
UCGUUAGGCAAAUGAUGUCGAAAAGAUUUAAAAUUUGAUUUCUAAACACUUCAAAUGGUAUAGAUCAUGUUCAACGGUGUCGAUCGUUGAUUUGAAGGCUCUAUCAUCGGAAACAAAUGGGUGGCAACGGAGCCUAUUUACUAUCGAUAGUAUUCUAGCUCAACUCUAUGAGUCCGGCUACUAUACUCUUAUGAGUAUAGAACCUAUUAUACUCAUAAGUUUUUGGCCGUUAGAUCUACCCUUUAAUUAUUUUCACCUGUUAAAUUAUACUAUUCAAUCAACCACCCACUCAACCCUAGGGGCUCACUAUUAACUUAACUGUAACCACUUUCAUCAUAACCACACAUUUUUUUCAUCUAAAAAGUGGCUCCCACCAAAUCUGUUGGUGUGGUAUUUUAUUCCGCAUAGCACUUAUGUAACGACCCAGUCCACUAGCAACAAUAACUCGUUGGGCCCAACAACUGGCCCAAAAUGCUUAAGCCCAGUUGUUAUUACUAGUGUUUAAGUCUCUUAUAAACCCAAUGACAACCUCAUUCCCAUCCGAUGUGGGACUAGUGUCACAGACUCCCCCCGUUAAGGCCCUGACGUCCUCGUCAGUCCAAUCACACACAGCCCAAGAUCACCAUGCGAUGUGAGACUCAUCUCGCUAGCCCGUCAUCCAGACCCUCGCUCAGCCGAGACUCGUCACACAUGUCCAGCUGGUGAACCGGCUCUGAUACCAAAUGUAACGACCCAGCCCACUAGCAACAAUAACUCGUUGGGCCCAACAACUGGCCCAAAAUGCUUAAGCCCAGUUAUUAUUACUAGUGUUUAAGUCUCUUAUAAACCCAAUGACAACCCCAUUCCCAUCCGAUGUGGGACUAUUGGGGUGUCACAACUUAGCUCUCACACUUUCGGCUUGUAUUUGGCUUUGAUACAAAUUAUAACGACCCGACCCAAUGGCAACAAUAAUUCGUUGGGCCCAAACCACCGACCAAAAUACUUAAGUUCAGUUAUUAUUACUAGCGUGUAGCCCUCAUAUAUUUUAAUCAGAAUUAUUUUUCCAGCCGAUGUGGGACUAUUGGGGCGUUACAACUACAAUGUGCAACUUGUCAUGCUAGUUUUAACUGACUUGUGGGAAUUCGCACUCUACUCCCAAUGGCCGGCUGAGCCCCGUUCUGCACGCUGUAUAACCAUAGUUUAAUCGAGACCCAUAUCACAUUUCUGAUUAAUUAUUGAAUUUAAUACUAAAGUAUAAUGCUCUG